rnacentral:rRNA from 1 species
AUUGAACGCUGGCGGCAGGCUUAACACAUGCAAGUCGAGCGGGGUGAUGGUGCUUGCACUAUCACUUAGCGGCGGACGGGUGAGUAAUGCUUAGGAAUCUGCCUAUUAGUGGGGGACAACAUCUCGAAAGGGAUGCUAAUACCGCAUUCGUCCUACGGGAGAAAGCAGGGGAUCACUUGUGACCUUGCGCUAAUAGAUGAGCCUAAGUCGGAUUAGCUAGUUGGUGGGGUAAAGGCCUACCAAGGCGACGAUCGGUAGCGGGUCUGAGAGGAUGAUCCGCCACACUGGGACUGAGACACGGCCCAGACUCCUACGGGAGGCAGCAGUGGGGAAUAUUGGACAAUGGGGGGAACCCUGAUCCAGCCAUGCCGCGUGUGUGAAGAAGGCCUUAUGGUUGUAAAGCACUUUAAGCGAGGAGGAGGCUCUUUUGGUUAAUACCCAAGAUGAGUGGACGUUACUCGCAGAAUAAGCACCGGCUAACUCUGUGCCAGCCGCCGCUGUAA